GUUGAAAUGAGGGGCCCAGAACUGGACACAGCCCUCGAGAUGUGGCCUCACCAGUACCCAGCAUCGGAGGACAAUCCCUGCCCUGGUCCUGCUGCCGCUCUAUUUUUGCUACAGACUCCUGAAGAAGCAGCUAAAACACAUCCUCUGUUAAUUACCGCUCUCCAGAAGACGCAUUUUCACACCAUGACUACAGAAACCAGGGCGCACACACAAAGGCAAAAAAUAUUCGUUCCUCUGGGCCAAAAGCUGCUUUCAGUUACACCCAAGAAACCACAUGAAAGCCUCGUGCCUGUGGAGGUGCCAAGGCCUCCUCAAAGCACCGCGUCCCAUUCGCUGCCGCUGACAUCAGCGAGCACGGCAGGCACCCACAGCUCCCCGGGGCAGCCCAGCACUUGCCAGAUCAAGGAAUCAUGGAAUCAGUGCUGCUGGAAAAGGCCUCUAAGAUGAAGAAGCGACGCUCUGGAACGGCAACACGCACAUGUUGAAUUCUGCACCCGUGGGUGCACCCUGCAGAUGUUGUUUCUGGGCAGUGAUGCUGUUAAUGGAAGCGGGCGGCGGAGGAGCGGAACCGGGGUGGGAACGGCUGGAAAAACAGCUGAGCACCUCUCUGCGUCCUGACCCGGCACCACGCGGCUCCUUCAGACCCUGGCGCCUCUGGAGACGAGGCUGCAAACAUGCUCCGUCCUGCCAAACCCCAGGACGAGCCUAAAAUAUGCUCCGAGCAGGAUCUCCGGCAAAGAGGGAUCGCGCUGACCCAUCGCUCCAUCUAGUGACAGCACAUCCUACAACACCCAGAUCCCCCGCGCCCAUCCCUUUGCUUCCAAGGCACCCUAAAUAAACACUCUUUACACAGUGCAUCUCCACCAUCA